ensembl:lncRNA
CAGCUCUUUCUCCUAACAACCAGUUGCAAAUAGGUUUUAUUGCCCAACGGCCAGAUCAAGUAGACAUUUAACAAGCUUUAAUUCUUCAUCAAGCUUCAGAUUUUUCACCCGGGAAAUCUUCCUCCUUUUCACCCUCUGUUUUCUUUUCCUUUGUUAAAAGCAGGACAUGACAGCCUGCAGGGUGAUGUCUAUUGUUACGAGUUGAAAGAUCUAGCAUGCUCUGGAGUCUGAGAGAAUGAAUGAAUUAUUAACAUCCUUCCCUACUGUUCCUGGUAAUGUAUGCAAUGCUUGAAAAGGCUUUUCUUUUAGCUUAAAGAAGCACAGAUAUUAGCGGUUAUUCAAAACAGCCUGGCAGACACAGAUUUAAUAUUGCUUCACCAGGGCUUGAUGGGAGUGAACUUUGGAUCUUUCUGGCUGAACAGAAGAAAGGCAAUAGUCCAGGAGAAGAAACAGCAGCUUUACAACAGCAACUAAACAGCUUGUCCCAGCAGCCAUGGUAAUUUGUUUGAGAGGAGGAAGAAGAGGAGGAAGACUACUGAGUUUUCAACCAGAAAGACUUGCCUACUGCUAUCUAAUUUUUUUUGUAUAACCAAGGCAGUUAACUUGUAAACUGUUACCUGCAGAUCAUUUUGUGGCCAAAGAGGUGAUGACUGAGACCGCCAGCACUUUAGCUGCAGACCUGGAUCAUCCACAAGUACUUUUGGUCUGAGGCUGGAGCUGCUCUUCCUGUUCAUACACUACACCGAGUGAUACACAUUCAACUUGAAUAACAGCUGAAGCCAGGGCCCCCAUGUCUACAGCUUGUGGGGGAUAAUGCGUAUCUGCAAUCAACGCACAUGCAAGGAAGAAAAAUCAGACUGUACCCAGCAGAAAGAUUCUCCCAUAAUUACCCAACUUUUUCUGGUGAAGCGCCUGGGAUGUGUACCGUCACACAGCAUUUUGCAAGCGGUUUGAUUUGCUCACUGCGUUUCCUGUCCUCUUCUGAGGAAUCCAGGGAGCUCCCGGGCUGGAAAUGUGUGGCAACGAAGCGGACAGACCUCAUUGGGGAGUGCUGGACUGUAUGGCAGAAGGGAUGAAGUGACCUCUCUGAUCCUUUCCAAAUCUGUAUCUUAGGACUGUGAUAAGAGACUGAAAUGUAAACCUUAUGCUAGCGUGUAAUGCACACUUUGAGCACAAAUGGAAACCGUGAGGGAGGGAAAAAAAAGUUUUAGUGUACUUUUCACACUGGAAAUGACUUAACCUCCUAUAUUUUCUUCCUCUUUUUUCUUUUUUUUUUCCCAGCAUACUCAUCUUACUACUCCCAGCAUACUACUCCCAGUAACUCAUUAACAAAGUUUCAGUGAAUUCGAAGCAAAGGCAAAGAGGAACAGUUUGCUCUCUUGCAGCAGUUAUUGAAUGUGCCCCCCAGUUACUUUUUUUCCCACAUUUCCUUUAAACUAACAAAGAGCUGUAAAUAAACACCCUUAGAAGCCAAACAACAGACACCAAAUAUUUUGAGAAUGAAACUCAUCAGAAAGGCCCAUUCCCUGGGCAAAGCGCUCAAUCAGUUUAAUUUUUUUUUUCUUACUGAAAAUGUGGGUGGUUUUCAAAUACAGGAAAGAAAACAUGAUGGCUUGUGGUGAUACUUUCCACCAGAAAGAUGCAGCUUUAAGGGCUUUUGGUUUCCAAAUACCUACACCCACAGGAGUGGCCUCGUCUGUUGUAGAAGGCCAUGCCUGAUUAGUUGUACGAGUCAAAUUAAAUGGCAAUAAUAGCACACAGCAGUUGAUGCGUGUUGCAGUGGAAGCUUUGUGUCAGCUGGGUAAUUAAUAUGGCAGCUGCCUCCCAGACUACGGCACUGUGGUUUUUAAAUAUGCAAAAUGCUGCUGUGUAAAAGAAGGGAAAAAAUCUGUUCUCCACAUCCCUGGUGGAUAGGGCAAGAAAUAGGCUUAAAUCACAUCAAGGAUGGUUUGGUCUAGUAUUAAAU